UGAAUAUGGAUUUUUGGAUUUUCAAGCUCCAUAGCAAAAGCAGCAAGUUAAAAAGCAUUUGAGAAAGCCUUCCAACUACUUUGGCAGAUAGUAUUUCUUCAGUAUCAGUUCUUUCCUGGAUCUAAGAGAGAUACAUCAGAGACCUUUAAGAUCUGAAGAGAUGCUUAUGUCUAUUCUCUCUGAAGACUGCUACCCGAAGCCUUCAUCUGCAUAACAAGAACCUUGGCCUCCACAGCCCUCCUUAACUCAAGCAUUCUUUCUACUGACAAGUCUUUAGAAAUCUUAACUCUUUCAACCAAUUAGCAAUCUGAAAAUGUUUGAAUCCCCCUGUGAGUUUUAAUUCAGUCUUCCCCCCCACCACUCCUGUCAACUUCAAGAUAUCCUGCCUCUAUAGGCUGAACCAAUGUAUAUCAUAUAUGUAUUAAUUUAAGUAUUUGCCUAUAAUUUCUGUCUUCCUAAAGUAUAUGGAAACAAAUGGUAACCUCACUGCCUCAGGCACACUGUCUCAGGACCUUUUGAGACUGUCCUCUGCCAUGAUUUCUCAUAUUUGCUCAGAAUAUAACUCUUUAAAUCUUUUACAGGGUUUGGAUGUUUAUAUGUUUUGGCUUUGUCCCCACCCAAAUCUUAAAUUGUAGCUCCCAUAAUUCCCACUUGUCUUGGGAGGGACCUGGUAAGAGGUAAUUCAAUCAUGAGGGCAGGUCUUUCCCAUGCUGUUUUCAUGAUAGUGAAUAAGUCUCAUGAGAUCUGAUGGUUAUAUAAAGGGAAGUUCCCCUACACAUGAUCUCUUUCUUGCCUACAGCCAUGGAAGAUGUGACCUUACUCCUUAUUUGCCUUCCACCAUGGUUUUGAGUCCUCUCCAGCAAUGUGGAACUGUCAGUCAAUUAAACCUCGUUCCUUUAUAAAUUACCCAGUCUUGGCUAUGUCUUUAUUAGCAGUAUGAGAACAGACUAAUACAGUAACUUGGUACCAGAUAGUAGGGAGCUGCUGUAAAGAUACCUGAAAAUGUGGAAAUGAAUUUGGAACUGGGUAACAGUCAGAAGUUAGAGCAGUUUGGAGGGCUCAGAAGAAGAUAGAAAAAUGUGGGAAAGUUUGGAACUUCCUAAAGACUUGUAGGACUCAGAAGACAAGAAGAUGUGGGAAAGUUUGGAACUUCCUAGAGACUUGUUGAAUGUCUUUAACCAAAAUGCUGAUAGUGAUAUGGACAAUAAGGUCUUGGCUGAGCUGGUGUCAGAUGGAGAUGAGAAACUUGUUGGAAACUGAAGUAAAGGUCACUCUUGCUAUACAAAGAGACACGACAUUUUGCCCCUUAUCUAGAGAUCUGUGGAACUUUGAACUUAAGAGAGAUGAUUUAGGGUAUCUGGUGGAAGAAAUGUUUAAGCAGCAAAGCAUUCAAAAGGCGACAAAGCAUAAAAGUUAAAAAAAUUGCAGCCUGAUAAUGCAGUAGUAAAUAAAAAAUGAUUUUCUAGGGAGAAAUUCAAGCUGGCUAUAGAAAUUUGCAUAAGUAACAAGGAGCCAAAUGCUAAUCGCCAAGACAAUGGGAAAAAUGUGUCCAGGGCAUGGCAGAGAACUUCACAACAGCCCCUCCAUUCAUAGGCCCAGAGGCCUAGGAGGGAAAAACAGUUUCCUGGUCUGGGCCCAGGGCCCUCCUGCUCUGUGCAGCCUAGGGACUUGGUGCCCUGCUUCCCAGCCCUGACUGAAAGAGACCAAUGUACAGCUCAGGUCGUUGAUUCAGAGGGUGCAAGCCCCAAGCCUUAGCAGCUAACACAUGGCAUUGGGCCUGCUGGUACACAGAAGUCAAGAAUUGGGAUUUCAGAACCUCUGCCUAGAUUUCAGAGAAUGUAUGGAAAUGCCUGGAUGUACAGACAGAGGUGUGCUGCAGGUGCAGAGCCCUCCUGGAAAACCUCUGCUAGGGUAGUGCAGAAGGGAUGCAAACCCCCACACAGAGUCCCCACUGGGGCACUACUUAGUGGAGCUCUGGGAAGAGGGCUGCUGUCCUCUAGACCCCAGGAUGGUAGAUCCACCAACAGCUUGCACCAUGUUCCUGGAAAAGCUGCAGGCACUCAAUGCCAGCCCAUGAAAGUAGCCAGGAGCAGAGCUAUACCAUUCAAAGUCACAGGGGCAGAGCUGCCCAAGGCCAUGGGAGCCAACCCACAUCUUGCAUCAGUGUGACCUGGAUGUGGGACCUAGAGUCAAAGGAGAUCAUUUCCGAGCUUUAAUAUUUGACUGCCCUGUUGGAUUUUUGAGCUUGCAUAGGGCUUGUAGCCCCUUUGUUUAGGCCAAUUUAUCCCAUUUAGAAUGGGUGUGUUUACCCAAUGCUUAUACCCCCAUUGUGUGUAGGAAGUAACUAGCUUUUGACUUUACAGGCUCAUAGGCAGAAGGGUCUUGCCUUGUCUCAGAUGAGACUUUGGACUGUGGGCUUUUGAAUUAAUGCUGAAAUGAGUUAAGACUUCUGGAGACUGUUGGGAAGGCAUAAUUGGUUUUAUAAUGUGAAAAGGACAUUAGAUUUGGAAGGGGCCAGGGGCAGAAUGAUAUGGCUUGGCUGUGUUCCCACCCAAAUUUCUAAUUGUACCUUCCAUAAUUCCCCCAUAUUGUAGAAGGGAGCUGGUGGGAUUAAUUGAAUCAUGGAGAUAGGUCUUUCCCAUGCUGUUCUCAUGAUAGUGAAUAAGUCUUAAAAGAUCUGAUGGUUUUACAAAGAGUAGUUCCCCUGCCCAUGCUCUCUUUCUUGCUUGCCAGCAUGUAAGAUGUUACUUUGCUCCUCCUUUGCCUUCCAUUAUGAUUGUGAGGCCUCCCCAGCCAAGUGGAACUGUGAGUCAAUUAAAU
rnacentral:lncRNA from 10 species